rnacentral:lncRNA from 1 species
CGCGCUCAUUACGUGUCAUCAUGACUUUCCUGUAAAAGGGGUGUCCAUAAUGAAUGCUGGGACUUUGGAAAUGUCAUUGUAAAAUACUAAUUUAAUGUAAACGUGAAAAGUGAAUCAUGUUAUGCUUGUGACAAAUAAACUUCUGUAUGCAUACCAUAUGUGACCUAAACAUAUAUGGCUUGUUUGAAAUGUCCGUAUUUUUGCUGUUAUCAUUCCCUAAGGCUAUGAGGCUUAUAUGUUUAUCACAUGUAUAUUCGUUCUAGAUGUGUGAUUGAUUUAUAUGCUGAGGACAAACACCGAUUUCGAUUGUUGCUGAAUAUUAUAUUUGUUCUUCGUUUUUUUAAAUUUUGAACAUAAACUUUCUCGUAAACUUACAUACGUAAUUUCGGAUUCUGCUAUAGCUUGUAAUGAAUAAGGUUUUUUGUUCUCAUUGUUGAAGGUCUUCCGAUAACAAAUAAUUGCUAACUUUUAUGUCAAGUGGUCUGGUGGGGACUUGUCUUAUUGGCAAUUGUACCACAUCUUCUAACUUUUUUUUAUAAUACUUUAUCCAAUGAACGUUUUGUCAAUGUUCUAAUAUAAAUAUCCCACUAGGAACAUUAUCGGUUGUGGCAAAGUAUAAAAUAUUUUGUGAUACAAAUAUCAUGAAUGCAUAUGAUCUUAUCUGUUAAUGCUCAUUAAAACGAAGCAGCAGUAAUAAG